rnacentral:lncRNA from 1 species
CCGCGCUUGGCCAUUUUCUUCUUUAGUGACCAAAAUUCCUCCCCUUAGGCAUUUUUGGUCAUUCAGAAGGAAAAUCUAAAUUAUGGACACUUGUGCUUCUAGAGCAGACAUGCAUCUGCAGAGACGGCAGCUGGAUUCGUGGACAAUGCUUAUGGUGCCACCUUCUGUCAGUAUCUAGAAACAUGGUCUCACUUAACCCGUGAAGACCCCAGACUAUAAUAGCUAAAAUGGGUAGAAGCUUCUAAAAGAAGUUCUGAUGAAGUCAUUUCUUUGCAAGAAGAAAACAGAAGAUUAUCUGAAACUAUUUCUUUUGUUUGUU